rnacentral:lncRNA from 1 species
AUGAGACAGUCUCUCAUUCACUUGCUGUACCCAUCUCUGGGUUUAUCAACUCUUGACUUCGCUGUCCCCACCCACCCCAUCAGGUCCUCACUGCAGACCACUGAGCACAGACUGGAUGUGAUUCUGGCUCCUCACAGCUUUUUGGUGUCACGCUUGCCCGGGACUGAACACAGUAUGCCACACACCACUGGCAGGUUGGAGGCUGGUUUUUAUACAGAGGUGACUCACAGGGCGGAUCACCAGCCUGCUGCUGCAGGUCACCAGUCAGGCAGAAGUCCCAUCAGCCAUGGCUGCGGGGAAGACGAUGUUACAAGGACUACCUGGUACAGUCACACCAGACACAAGUAAGGACCCAUGGGCACUGAGCAGGGCAGGAUGGGUA